GGGACUACAGGCGCCCGCCAUCAUGCCCGGCUAAUUUUUGGUAUUUUUAGUAGAGACGGGGUUUCACCGUGUUAGCCAGGAUGGUCUCGAUUUCCUGACCUCGUGAUCCGCCCGCCUCGGCCUCCCGAAGUGCUGGGAUUACAGGCGUGAGCCACCGCGCCCGGCCCUUGCAGUGUCUUUUGAUGUGAGCUGGCAUGAUGGGGGUCCAGGCCUCAGUGUUCCUGGCCUGCUGCUCUGGGGGCAGGGGCUGGGAGGAAGGAAGGAGCUUGCUGAACUCCUAGCGACUGUCAUCUGGAAUAUCAUCUCUGAAACACAGAGUUGGGGGCAUAAGAAAUGCUGGUGGUCUACUCCUGGGGAGACACUGAAGCAUUUGGUUGGCAGCUGGAGUGAGAGAGGCUGUUUCUAAGGGGGUACAGGAUGCAGGGCAACUCAACCAGAGAAAGGCCCACUCAGAAUCAUCUGUUUUGCAAAGAAGCCUCAUCAUGGACAUCUUUCACUGGCCCAUUGGGAUGCUGUUAAAGAAAAAUUAUUUAAAAUUAAAUUUUAUGAUGUUUUUUAAAGUUCU
rnacentral:lncRNA from 10 species